UAAAGAGUUUCCAGAGACUCCAGACCGUAGAAGACGGGACUACAGAAGUCUGAAACUCUUUUCUUUAUAAUAGUAACAAAAAGGUUGCAAUGCGCUUUAAAUCUUUAAUAACUCGGCUGCUGCUGCAUAUAUCAGUAGAUCAAGAGAAAUCCAGUAAAUAUAGAGAUAUAAAUAUGAGAGGUGUUGGAGGACCAUUACUAUGCAUUGGAGAUCUACUGAGUGAUGUAAGUGAAGCUUCGGAAAUUGGGGAUCACAAUGAAACCUCUUCUUCUUCCUUAUCAUCCACGCCCUCACUUCCUACAGAUUCUCUUCUCCCCCCCAUCAAAACUACCCCAAUUGUUUCAGGAAAACUAUAGCCAGUUGAGUCAAGCAUUGGAUGGGACUGACCACUCAUGGACAGCUUUGACUCUUAAGUUAUGUUCUGCGUUGGAGACUGCUGAUAAGUUGGUGCAAUCAAACAACUCUAAUGUCAGAUUCCUGUCGGCGAAAGUUGAAGUUCUUGAGAGUAUUGUGAAGAGAGGAGAUUCUGCUGCGAAGUCAGCUAAAUUCAUACAUGAUAAACAUAGCAGUGAAAGUUCUUCGGUUGGGAAUUAGAUACAAGUAUGAUUUUGGUCUUAUGAAAUGAUGAUUAUACGAAAUGAUGAAUAUCCUACCUUAUUUGAAGCACAAUUUGUGGCGUGUGGUUCAUUCUUUGUGCCGAUAAAAGACAAACACUGAAGAAUGAUCUGCAAAUGCGGGAUAGCUUUAAGUGGUAUCUAGUAUACAAUCCAGCAGGUCUAGAAGACCAAUUGUGAACAACAUAUAAACUGAGAAGUUAAUUCAAAAUCCUCGACCGUAUCAAACUUUACUGACCCAAACGCAAAAUAGCUCUUUUACUAGUGAUGGUACAAAGAAUAACUACUGUUGUUUAUUGAUCAGAAAUUAUGUUGUACACUACCAGUCUAGUGGUAUAACCGAAUCUGCAGCAUCCAAAGAGAUAAUACUAUGAGUAUGAAUUCUUGUU